rnacentral:lncRNA from 1 species
GGGGAGUUUCCCUGCACAAGCUCUCUCUUUGCCUGCUGUCAUCCAUGUAAGGCGUGACUUGUUCCUCCUUGCCUUCCAUCAUAAUUGUGAGGCCUCCCAUCCAUGUGGAACUAUGAAGAGCUAUAAGAAUGGAAUCGAGACUAGGAGAGGAACAUCCAAAGGAGAGAAAAUGACUGCAGUGGGAGAGAACAAGAGCUACGAUCAAAAAGAGGAGAGACAAGCAGCACUGAGGAAGACAGAAGGGUAAGAAGAGAUGAUGUCAGAAGUGGGAUCCAAAGAAAAGCUUCCAGUGACCCCCAGGAGCACUGAGUGACCAAGCAAGCAAGAAAAGGUUAAAUGACUUGUGCACUGGGAAGAAAAAAAAAAAAAACAGUUGUCAUCCGUGGUGCCAAAAAUAGAAGUUCUGAUUUCCAGUCCUGUGAUCUCAACAGAAGACAGAAUGUUCACUCUAUCUGACUGAUACAAAAUACAACUUCUCCAAGGACUCUAUUAUUUUGAACUACUGUGUGCUGCACAUAUGCCAGGAGCUGAUUCAGUGGUUUCAUCCAAAUGUAAAGCAAAAUAUGGAAUUAUUUCAACAUAUAAUAAUAACUACUGUUACACUUAUGUAAGGCAAUAAAAAUAUUUUUGGCAAAAGCUUGUCCUGCUUUCUUUUUUGAGCAUAAUUUAUGUUUUACAAUCUUGUUGGCAAAAGUGUGACCUAUGUCUGUUUUUGUUCUGGUGAGUGCAACUAAGAAUGAUGCCACUGUCAUUUUUGUUCUUUUCUCUGUUUUGCAUGACAACAUUAAUAACUUUCACAAGGAAAAGUAUUAACUAGCAAAUAUUUCUGAAAAACUCAGAUAACCACAAAGAU